rnacentral:rRNA from 1 species
CCCUACGGGGCGCAGCAGUGGGGAAUUUUGGACAAUGGGCGAAAGCCUGAUCCAGCCAUGCCGCGUGAGUGAAGAAGGCCUUCGGGUUGUAAAGCUCUUUCGGCCGGAACGAAAUCGCACCCGUGAAUAUCGGGUGUGGAUGACGGUACCGGAAGAAGAGGGACCGGCUAACUACGUGCCAGCAGCCGCGGUAAUACGUAGGGUCCGAGCGUUAAUCGGAAUUACUGGGCGUAAAGCGUGCGCAGGCGGUUUUGUAAGCCAGUCGUGAAAUCCCCGGGCUUAACCUGGGAACGGCGAUUGGGACUGCAAGGCUCGAGUGCGGCAGAGGGGGGUGGAAUUCCACGUGUAGCAGUGAAAUGCGUAGAUAUGUGGAGGAACAUCAAUGGCGAAGGCAGCCCCCUGGGUCGACACUGACGCUCAUGCACGAAAGCGUGGGGAGCAAACAGGAUUAGAUACCCCGGUAGUCU